rnacentral:rRNA from 1 species
AACUUUCAACAACGGAUCUCUUGGUUCUGGCAUCGAUGAAGAACGCGGCGAAAUGCGAUACGUAAUGUGAAUUGCAGAAUUCAGUGAAUCAUCGAAUCUUUGAACGCACAUUGCGCCCGCCAGCAUUCUGGCGGGCAUGCCUGUUCGAGCGUCAUUU